rnacentral:rRNA from 1 species
UGCCAGCAGCCGCGGUAACACGGGGGGCGCAAGCGUUGUUCGGAUUUACUGGGCGUAAAGGGCGUGUAGGCGGAAAGAUAAGCAGGAGGUGAAAUCCCGGGGCUCAACCCCGGAACUGCUUCCUGAACUGUAUUUCUAGAGAGGGUCAGAGGUUAGUGGAAUUCCUGGUGUAGAGGUGAAAUUCGUAGAUAUCAGGAGGAACACCGGUGGCGAAAGCGGCUGACUGGGGCCCAUCUGACGCUGAGGCGCGAAAGCGUGGGGAGCAAACAGGAUUAGAUA